rnacentral:rRNA from 1 species
CCUACGGGUGGCAGCAGUGGGGAAUAUUGCACAAUGGGGGAAACCCUGAUGCAGCGACGCCGCGUGAGUGAAGAAGUAUUUCGGUAUGUAAAGCUCUAUCAGCAGGAACGAGACAAGACGGUACCUGACUAAGAAGCCCCGGCUAACUACGUGCCAGCAGCCGCGGUAAUACGUAGGGGGCAAGCGUUAUCCGGAAUCAAUGGGUGGAAAGGGAGCGUAGACGGCUGAGCAAGCCUGAAGUGAAAGGCGGGGGCCCAACCCCCGGACUGCUUUGGGAACUGUACGGCUGGAGUGCAGGAGAGGUAAGUGGAAUUCCGAGUGUAGCGGUGAAAUGCGUAGAUAUUAGGAGGAACACCAGUGGCGAAGGCGGCUUACUGGACUGUAACUGACGUUGAGGCUCGAAAGCGUGGGGAGCAAACAGGAUUAGAUACCCGGGUAGUC